AGCUGAAAGGCGAGGCUGAGAGACUGGGGACCGGAGGCUUGUGGUGCCAGGAUGGACCAGAGACUGAGGCUGGAGACCAGGGGCCUGCAGCACCGGACCAGAGGACCAGGAAUCCAUGGCUGAAGGAGCUGAUGGAGGAGUCGUGCUGAAGGAGCUGAUGGAGGAGCUGAUGGAGGAGUCGUGCUGAAGGCCCUGCCUGGUGGAGGAGCUGGUGGAGGCCCUGCCUGGUGGAGGACGUCUGUCGUGGGACCAGGACUCUGUCUGAGGAGAGCUGCUGGAGGACGACUAGGAAUCGACCAACAAGGAUUCCUCAACGUGUUUCUGGAGCGGAGGCGAGCUGGUAGGGGAGCCGUGAAUCUGGAGGAUGACCAUCACUCUACCAACAAGGAUUACUUUAGGGCCAGACUCGCGCUGUUUGUUCCAGACCAGGACUCUGGCUGAGGAGAGCUGAUGGAGGAGCCAAGACUCUGGAGGACGACAUCACUCCACCAACCAGGAUCCUCAGCCAAAUUACGUUCGUAACCAGACCAGGAAUCUGGAGGACUGAUGGAGAAGCCGUACAAUCCUGAGGACCACCAGAACUCUACCAUCAAGGAUUCCUCAUAAGUGUGCAUCAUCUGGAUAUAGUGGACAAGACACAGCUGAGCUGAACCUCACCUGAUCCUGUUUGGUCGGGGGUAGACGCACCUGAGCUAAACCCGCCCUGAUCCUGACAUCCUGCUGGUCCCGUCUCCUCAGUUCAUCUGAGCCUCGUCCUCCAGAAGACCUGCUGAGCUCAGCAGUCUGAGGCUGAUGGAUCAAUGACCUCCAGUGGGAGUGAUCUUCUUGACCCCACAUGUAACCGUGUGCUUCCACACGCCUUUCCCUCACGUCUGUCACUAACCUCACUACUUCACUACUCUCUACUGCUUCCUCUUUUCUUCCUUCUCUGUGGUUCGAACCUUUACACUGGAGGCGCGUCUCCAUGCCCUCAGAGGGUUCAGCGUUAGGGUUGAGAGUCAGGGUUUAGAGUCAGGGACAGAGCUGGUCAGGGAGGACUGCUUUACACAAACCUCUUCACUUGCUUUCGGAAUGGUGGUGACAUUUUGAAAAGAUUCAUUUGGGAAAAUGUUUUCCUCUGCUUUCCUUUACAAAAUUGUAUUAAACUUCUGUCAAGUGUUUUUGUUUAUAUAUUAAAAUCCCACAUUGACUUCUA